GCUCGCUUUGGCAGCACAUGCUAAAAUUGGAACGAUACAGAGAAGAUUAGCAUGGCCUCUGCGAAAGGAUGACACACAAAUUUGUGAAGUGUUAAAAAAAAAA